GACGAACGCUGGCGGCGUGCUUAACACAUGCAAUUCGAACGGAAAGGCCCUGCUUUUGUGGGGUGCUCGAGUGGCGAACUGGUGAGUAACACGUGAUUAACCUGCCCUUGACUUUUGGUUACCUUCAGGAAACUUGUGCUAAUACCGGAUAGGAGCUCCUGCUGCAUGGUGGGGGUUGUAAAGUUUCGGCGGUUGGGGUUGGACUUGCGGCUUAUCAGCUUGUUGGUGGGGUAGUGGCUUACCAAGGCUUUGACGGGUAGCCGGCCUGAGAGGGUGACCGGCCACAUUGGGACUGAGAUACGGCCCAGACUCCUACGGGAGGCAGCAGGGGGGAAUAUUGCACAAUGGGCGGAAGCCUGAUGCAGCAACGCCGCGUGCGGGAUGACGGCCUUCGGGUUGUAAACCGCUUUCGCCUGUGACGAAGCGUGAGUGACGGUAAUGGGUAAAGAAGCACCGGCUAACUACGUG
rnacentral:rRNA from 1 species